AGUCAGAUGUGAAAGCCCGGGGCUCAACCUCGGAACUGCAUUUGAAACUGGCAAACUAGAGUACUGUAGAGGGGGGUAGAAUUUCAGGUGUAGCGGUGAAAUGCGUAGAGAUCUGAAGGAAUACCAGUGGCGAAGGCGGCCCCCUGGACAGAUACUGACACUCAGAUGCGAAAGCGUGGGGAGCAAACAGGAUUAGAUACCCUGGUAGUCCACGCCGUAAACGAUGUCUACUUGGAGGUUGUGGCCUUGAGCCGUGGCUUUCGGAGCUAACGCGUUAAGUAGACCGCCUGGGGAGUACGGUCGCAAGAUUAAAACUCAAAUGAAUUGACGGGGGCCCGCACAAGCGGUGGAGCAUGUGGUUUAAUUCGAUGCAACGCGAAGAACCUUACCUACUCUUGACAUCCAGAGAACUUUCCAGAGAUGGAUUGGUGCCUUCGGGAACUCUGAGACAGGUGCUGCAUGGCUGUCGUCAGCUCGUGUUGUGAAAUGUUGGGUUAAGUCCCGCAACGAGCGCAACCCUUAUCCUUGUUUGCCAGCGAGUAAUGUCGGGAACUCCAGGGAGACUGCCGGUGAUAAACCGGAGGAAGGUGGGGACGACGUCAAGUCAUCAUGGCCCUUACGAGUAGGGCUACACACGUGCUACAAUGGCGCAUACAGAGGGCGGCCAACUCGCGAGAGUGAGCGAAUCCCAAAAAGUGCGUCGUAGUCCGGAUUGGAGUCUGCAACUCGACUCCAUGAAGUCGGAAUCGCUAGUAAUCGUAGAUCAGAAUGCUACGGUGAAUACGUUCCCGGGCCUUGUACACACCGCCCGUCACACCAUGGGAGUGGGCUGCAAAAGAAGUGGGUAGUUUAACCUUCGGGAGGACGC
rnacentral:rRNA from 1 species